rnacentral:rRNA from 1 species
CUGGAGUUACUAGUAAACGCAGAUGAGAAUGCUGCGGUGAAUGCGUUCCCGGGUCUUGUACACACCGCCCGUCACGCCACGGGAGUUGGAGACGCCCGAAGCCGAUUAUCUAACCUUUUGGAAGAAGGCGUCGAAGGUGGAAUCAAUAACUGGGGUGAAGUCGUAACAAGGUAGCCGUAUCGGAAGGUGCGGCUGGAUCACCUCCUUUCUAAGGAGA